rnacentral:rRNA from 1 species
CCUACGGGAGGCAGCAGUCGAGAAUUUUUCACAAUGGACGAAAGUCUGAUGGAGCGACGCCGCGUGGAGGAUGAAGGUUCUUGGAUUGUAAACUCCUGUCACUGCAGAACAAGGGUGCGUCAUUUAAAAGAUAGCGCAUUUGAUGGUAUGCGGAGAGGAAGGGACGGCUAACUCUGUCCCAGCAGCCGCGGUGAU